AUUGAACGCUGGCGGCAGGCCUAACACAUGCAAGUCGAGCGGAUGAAGGGAGCUUGCUCCUGGAUUCAGCGGCGGACGGGUGAGUAAUGCCUAGGAAUCUGCCUGGUAGUGGGGGAUAACGUCCGGAAACGGGCGCUAAUUCCGCAUACGUCCUGAGGGAGAAAGUGGGGGAUCUUCGGACCUCACGCUAUCAGAUGAGCCUAGGUCGGAUUAGCUAGUUGGUGGGGUAAAGGCCUACCAAGGCGACGAUCCGUAACUGGUCUGAGAGGAUGAUCAGUCACACUGGAACUGAGACACGGUCCAGACUCCUACGGGAGGCAGCAGUGGGGAAUAUUGGACAAUGGGCGAAAGCCUGAUCCAGCCAUGCCGCGUGUGUGAAGAAGGUCUUCGGAUUGUAAAGCACUUUAAGUUGGGAGGAAGGGCAGUAAGUUAAUACCUUGCUGUCUUGACGUUACCAACAGAAUAAGCACCGGCUAACUUCGUG
rnacentral:rRNA from 1 species